GACAGAGGCCCCAAGCGUUAUGCGGAAUCACUGGGCUUAAAGCGUGUGUAGGCGGACUUCUAAGUGCCUUGUGAAAUCCCACGGCUCAACCGUGGAACUGCUGGGCAUACUGGGAGUCUUGGGCCAUUCAGGGGCAACUGGAACAAGCGGUGGAGCGGUGAAAUGCGUAGAUAUCGCUUGGAACGCCGAAGGUGAAAACAGGUUGCUGGGGAUGUGCCGACGCUGAGACACGAAAGCCAGGGGAGCAAACGGG
rnacentral:rRNA from 1 species